AUGGCUUACUACAAAGCACGGCGGCUCGUUUCUCUUGACAGUGCUUCCAAUACUUGUGCCUCAUGGGCUGCCGUAAGUCUUCAGACAUAACAGAGUGAGUACAGCAUUGACCAGUUGAAUGGCAUAAUGCACCUGUUGGCCUCCAGAAUGUUGGGUCUUGAAGGCAAUGAUGUAAGGAAUUCCCCACUGCCUCCGUGCACCAGCUGGCCUUUAUCGACAUCCAUGGGGUUCUCGCCAAGUGUCUGGAACGCAUCCUGGCCUUCACAAGGUACAGGGUAUGUGACGCAGGUCUUGCCACCACCACCACCACUACUACGAAGCGCGACACCAGCCACUCUCCACCGCCUCGCUAGGAACACGCUGUCCAGAUGAAGCCACUUCCACGUCACUUGGGAAGAAGGGACUCCCGGGGAAGCGAGCGAGGUCGUGGAAGCAACAAGUAAAAGAAAGAAAAGUGGCAUAAUUUCCCAAAGAUUUUUUGUGAGGAUGAUGACAGAGCAUAGGGACACUGGCAACGUUGGAAGUAGCCAAUGCCAGUGACGCUGCUGUACGAAAGUUGCUGCUACGGAAAUUACCCUCUAUCUGUAGUAGGGCUUCAAGCGUGGUCGCUGAUAGAACCUUUUUCGAUGGCAUGCCUGUCGCUGGAGGGAUUAUUCGGUGUCCGUCGGCGCCACAUACUGAGUAAUGUUGGGGUGCCUCCCCGAGCCAAACUUGUAACAGUAAAGAUAUAAUUACUGGGAAUAACAUCAGUAGUCUUCUUUCAUCUACAGGUGAAUUCCGUGACGCAUGCCUGAAGUUGGGUUAAGAAAACUGGCAGAGACGACUCGGAACACCUAAUGGCUAAUAUAGCUCUCGUUGAUCUUGCUAACUGCAUGCUUUCCCUCCUUCCGCGACCUCGCUUCACAAGACUUUCUUCUUUCUCUCACCCCCUAUUCAGUUUACCUUAGUGCAAGACUGAAUUUAAUCAUUCAUCACUUUGUUAAUACACUGGAACUCCCUGCCUGCUUCUAUAUUCUUCCUAUGGCUUGAACUCAAGAUAUUCAUCCUCUGAUUUUGAUUAUCCUUCUGACUGUAUGGGGACAGGUACUUUUUAGUGGGCCUCUAAAUUUAUUUAGUCUUUUUUUGUUAUUUGCCUGUGUGCCAUCCUCUGCUUGCUGCUUCUCACUUAGCAGCAAAUACUUGGUGCAGUGUAUAAACGUGCAGCCUAGAAAACAUCAAAAAUUUAGGCUAAUGAAUUUCAUCAACAUCUUCAUAUCUUGAAAAAAAAAUUCAAUCUCACCAUACAUAAUACAUCUGUAUAAGAAAUAUUUCCCAGUUAUUCUUUAAUGAGUCGCCACUGGCAAAGGACAAAAAAAAAAAGGGAGGCCCAUUGGCACCAGUCCUCAUAUUGUUAGAAAGUAUUUUUUUGUAUUAGAGAGAUGGACAGAAUAGUAUUAUUCUAAGGGUAAGAUAAGAAAGAAAAAAAGUUAUGCAGCGAGACCGCAGCAGGAGAGGAGCCCAUGCAGCAAGGCAAUUGCAUAAAGAUUAAAACAAAGGAUUUAGAAAAUAGUUAAAAAGAUAUGUAAAGGGGCGGCUGACUGGGUGUGUUAGUUCACGGUCAUUUUUAAUGUACAUUCAUUCCAAUACUCCAGUAAUACCAACAACACUAAGCAAUAUGUGGGAAUACCAGGUACAGUGUAACUUACAAUUUGUGAAAAAUUACUUUUUAAAAUUUUAUACCCCUCAAACAGUGCUAACAUGAGAAUGUUAGGGAUUCGUCUACGUUAAGAAAAAAAUUGUCCCUGAACUGACACCAUUCAACCUGCCAACUUAAUAUCUUUUGAAUUUCUAAAUCCUUUGUUCAAUGUUUCAUAAGUGUAUAUGUAUGAUGUAACUUAAUUGUAUACAGUCCUUUUGACAGUCGCAUUUUCUAUGCGCCGAAAUGUUGGAAUGAAGAUAUUUUAUGAAGCUAUUCAUCUGUAAUGACAGUUUUCCUUGUUCAUGAUAGGCUAAAUCAAUGUUACUCUGAACUUAUUUCUGAACUUGUUCCACUCACAUCGUGAUAUUCCACAACAAGAUGUUUCCCAUAUAUUCGUUUUUUUUGUUACAAGCCUUUUCAUAUUGCUAAUGAGGUGCACAUAGGCACACGUCUGUGCAAGGAAUACCAGUUCCUCCUUUUCUCUAUUCACUCGC